AACGAACGCUGGCAGCAUGCCUAACACAUGCAAGUCGAACGAGACCUUCGGGUCUAGUGGCGCACGGGUGCGUAACGCGUGGGAACCUGCCCUUAGGUUCGGAAUAACUCCCCGAAAGGGGUGCUAAUACCGGAUAAUGUCUUCGGACCAAAGAUUUAUCGCCUUUGGAUGGGCCCGCGUUGGAUUAGCUAGUUGGUAGGGUAAAAGCCUACCAAGGCGACGAUCCAUAGCUGGUCUGAGAGGAUGAUCAGCCACACUGGGACUGAGACACGGCCCAGACUCCUACGGGAAGCAGCAGUGGGGAAUAUUGGACAAUGGGCGAAAGCCUGAUCCAGCAAUGCCGCGUGAGUGAUGAAGGCCUUAGGGUUGUAAAGAUCUUUUACCCGGGAUGAUAAUGACAGUACCGGGAGAAUAAGCUCCGGCUAACUCCGUG
rnacentral:rRNA from 1 species